rnacentral:rRNA from 1 species
UACGAAGGGGCUAGCGUUGCUCGGAAUCACUGGGCGUAAAGCGCACGUAGGCGGAUUGCUAAGUCAGGGGUGAAAUCCUGGAGCUCAACUCCAGAACUGCCUUUGAUACUGGCGAUCUCGAGUCCGGGAGAGGUGAAUGGAACUGCGAGUGUAGAGGUGAAAUUCGUAGAUAUUCGCAAGAACACCAGUGGCGAAGGCGGCUCACUGGCCCGGUACUGACGCUGAGGUGCGAAAGCGUGGGGAGCAAACAGG